rnacentral:rRNA from 1 species
AUUGAACGCUGGCGGCAUGCUUUACACAUGCAAGUCGAGCGGCAGCGCGGGGGCAACCCUGGCGGCGAGCGGCGAACGGGUGAGGAAUACAUCGGAACGUGCCCCGGAGUGGGGGAUAACGCCGCGAAAGCGGCGCUAAUACCGCAUAUGCCCUGAGGAGGAAAGCGGGGGACCUGUGAGGGCCUCGCGCUCUGGGAGCGGCCGAUGUCCGAUUAGCUAGUUGGUGGGGUAAAGGCCUACCAAGGCGACGAUCGGUAGCUGGUCUGAGAGGAUGAUCAGCCACACUGGGACUGAGACACGGCCCAGACUCCUACGGGAGGCCGCAGUGGGGAAUUUUGGACAAUGGGGGCAACCCUGAUCCAGCCAUGCCGCGUGCGGGAAGAAGGCCUUCGGGUUGUAAACCGCUUUUAGCCGGGAAGAAAAGGCCACGGACAAUACCCGUGGUUCUUGACGGUACCGGCGGAAUAAGCACCGGCUAACUACGUGCCAGCAGCCGCGGUAAUAC